GAGAGAAGAGCCUGUGAGAAUAGCCAAGAUGACUGCCUGGGAAUCCAAUAUUCACGAAAUAUUGGAAUGACGCAGGCAAGUCAUUCUUGGCUAUCACGCCAAUUAAAGAGACUCUUAUCC
rfam:Morus notabilis contig10366, whole genome shotgun sequence.